rnacentral:tRNA from 1 species
GGCCCUAUGGUCUAACGGUCUAGGACGUUACCCUUUCAAGGUAAAAAUGUGGGGUUCAAAUCCCCCUAGGGUCACCA